GUGUUCUGGAAUUGGCUAACAGCAGCUGAGCCAAAGUGGAUUGCAACAAUGGGCAAGGCAGCGCCACAGUUAGGAGCGGCCCUGUCAUCAGGAGCUGGGGAGAGACGCAGAGGAAGGAGGUGACUGAUGGUCGUGGCCUCUGGUCUGCCAGGCUGUGGAGACUGGUGCCCUGAGCGUGGCCUGACGGAGUUAGCUCUGGUUUUGCUUAUGGUGGCAGCUGGGAGACUGAAGCCACUGCAGUCUGCUGGUCUUCUCCUUUAAUUACCUUCACUCCCUGCGGCCUGGAGGGGCCCUGGUGGUGGUGCACCUGGUUGAGCGAAUGCUACGAUGUGCAAGGACCUGAGUUCAAGCCCUUGCUCUCCACCUGUGAAGCUUCACAAGUGGUGAAAUAGCACUGCAGGUGUCUCUCUUGCUCUUUCCAUCUCCUCCUGCCCUCUUGAUUUUUGUCUCUAUCCAAUAAAUCAGACAUUAAUUAAAAACUGUAUUGUGUAAAGUCUCUUCAGAGGUGGAUCUCCUGGCAUUAUUAGUGAUUUAUUUACCAUAUACCAUCACUGCGACUUUGUGCCUGCAGUGACUCCUGGGAU